AGCCCAAGACAGCAGCCAGUAAUAGAACUCUAGCCAGCGCUAGCUACCCUUAGAUUGAUACAACGUAAGUGACCCAUAGGCUAGACACACAAGCUCUCUCUAGCUGGCCUGGAGCUAAGGGGAAAUCAGGAAAACUCUUCGAUAAUUUAAGAUAAACAGAGCUGGGUUGUAGAAUUUAAGAUGACGUUCUUGCAGCCUGCUGUUUACAGUCUUUCCCCCAUUAUUCCUUUACAUAAAGGGGAAAAGGGGGAAUUUAAAGCGUUGAUUGCGGCUGUGGGUGGAGCUCAGUUGGUAGCCUGUGGGAUGAUGUCACAGGUGAGGGGCAGGUACAGGAUAGAAGGAGGCCUGUCAUUGGACGAGAUGGAAGGAUGGGCGGGAGAAAAGUUUGAAGGAAGGGGCGGAGACAGGAACAGAAGAAGAAGGGACAGGGAGAGCACCCCGUGGACAUCAUGGAAGAUGAGGGGAGGAAGAAAUGGAGAAAACAUUUGGUUUUCUGGCUGAGUGCUCCAAGACUGAGUUAACUCACUGAGCGCAUGUGAAGAAAGAAAGGCCCGGAUCUCCUCAGUUCUCAGUGCUCUCUGCUGCUCAUCGUCCAAUCUCCAAGAAGCUCACACAGGGCAGGAGGAAGAAAAAACCCCCACGUUUUCUCUAUGAAUAUAAUAUUAUAUUGGAAGAUUAAAAGAGAAAAGAGCAUAAUCAAACGAAAGCUCGACUGGUUUAAAGAAGCCAACUUGACAAUGUAAUAAUAAUGCCUUACCAUUACAAAAAGAAGAAGAAUGGAAUCUAAUGCUUAAUGUCCCAAAAAAGCGAAUGGAAGAUUGGGCAAAAAGAGCAGAAAGAAAAGGGUCAUUUCCAAUGGAAAUUUGAUGUUCUGUAUGUCUAAGAAAACAGGCUCAGAAAAGAAAUGUGUUGUGUCUGCUGAAAUAACAAUAAAUAUUUUGGGGCGAGUAGAACCCAGAGAUUUUAA